rnacentral:rRNA from 1 species
UCAGUCGGCUACAAGAAUACACGCUGGCGGCGUGCCUCAGACAUGCAAGUCGAACGAUUAAAGCUCUCUUCGGAGAGUGUAUAGAGUGGCGCACGGGUGAGUAACACGUAAGUAAUCUACCCUCGAGUGGGGAAUAACAACCGGAAACGGUUGCUAAUACCGCAUAAUGCAGCGGCACCGCAAGGUGACAGUUGUUAAAGAUUUAUCGCUUGAGGAGGAGCUUGCGGCAGAUUAGCUAGUUGGUAGGGUAACGGCUUACCAAGGCUACGAUCUGUAACCGGUCUAAGAGGACGGUCGGUCACACUGACACUGAAUAACGGGUCAGACUCCUACGGGAGGCAGCAGUCGGGAAUUUUGGGCAAUGGGCGAAAGCCUGACCCAGCAACGCCGCGUGAAGGAUGAAGUAUUUCGGUAUGUAAACUUCGAAAGAAUAGGAAGAAUUAAUGACGGUACUAUUUAUAAGGUCCGGCUAACUACGUG